rnacentral:rRNA from 1 species
AAGAAGUGCAUCGGAAACUGGGAAACUUGAGUGCAGAAGAGGACAGUGGAACUCCAUGUGUAGCGGUGAAAUGCGUAGAUAUAUGGAAGAACACCAGUGGCGAAGGCGGCUGUCUGGUCUGUAACUGACGCUGAGGCUCGAAAGUAUGGGUAGCAAACAGGAUUAGAUACCCUGGUAGUCCAUACCGUAAACGAUGAAUGCUAAGUGUUGGAGGGUUUCCGCCCUUCAGUGCUGCAGCUAACGCAUUAAGCAUUCCGCCUGGGGAGUACGGCCGCAAGGCUGAAACUCAAAGGAAUUGACGGGGGCCCGCACAAGCGGUGGAGCAUGUGGUUUAAUUCGAAGCUACGCGAAGAACCUUACCAGGUCUUGACAUACUAUGCAAAUCUAAGAGAUUAGACGUUCCCUUCGGGGACAUGGAUACAGGUGGUGCAUGGUUGUCGUCAGCUCGUGUCGUGAGAUGUUGGGUUAAGUCCCGCAACGAGCGCAACCCUUAUUAUCAGUUGCCAGCAUUAAGUUGGGCACUCUGGUGAGACUGCCGGUGACAAACCGGAGGAAGGUGGGGAUGACGUCAAAUCAUCAUGCCCCUUAUGACCUGGGCUACACACGUGCUACAAUGGAUGGUACAACGAGUUGCGAACUCGCGAGAGUAAGCUAAUCUCUUAAAGCCAUUCUCAGUUCGGAUUGUAGGCUGCAACUCGCCUACAUGAAGUCGGAAUCGCUAGUAAUCGCGGAUCAGCAUGCCGCGGUGAAUACGUUCCCGGGCCUUGUACACACCGCCCGUCACACCAUGAGAGUUUGUAACACCCAAAGUCGGUGGAGUAACCUUUUAGGAACCAGCCGCCUAAGGUGGGACAGAUGAUUAGGGUGAAGUCGUAACAAGGUAACCGUAA